rnacentral:sRNA from 1 species
AAUGAACUAAGUAGAGGAAAGUAAAGAUGCUCGACCGAGUAUGAACAUGCAGAGAGUAAACAGGUCGAGUAACAAAGUCGAGCAGAAUAACAAAGCAGAGCGAUCAGAUAAACUAAACUGAACGAGCAGAAGAGUAAAUAACACGAAACUCAAUAAAUCUAAGCGCAACAGAGCUCUUAAGAAUGGGGUAAUUGGUUCUAAUAGACUCCUCAAUCCAUUUAGCUAACUAACAAACUCAAUCAAGCUAUCCCUAGAUAAUAGAUUCUGAACCAAAUCAAUCCACUUUCGUGACAAUGAUUCUCAUAACUCUACCACUUCCUAAUCUCAAUUUUCAUUGAUGAAACAUAGUAAAGCUGGCUUUAAACACCAAUCUAUUAAAGUCAAUAAGCAGUCUAAACAUCCAAUGUCUUGGGUUAGAAUCUACAAAUCUCUGAAAUUAGUUGGUUCAGACAUUUCAUCAAACACUUAUUAGGUGGAGAAAGUCUGAAAUCAAUUUUCAAUUGAUCAGAAAGAAAAUAGCAUUAAGAACUCCUAAAACAGAAGGGAAUCAU